rnacentral:rRNA from 1 species
GACGUAGGGUCCAAGCGUUGUCCGGAUUUACUGGGCGUAAAGGGCGCGUAGGCGGCCUGUUAAGUGUGGAGUGAAAUCCCUGGGCUCACCCCAGGAACCGCUCCGCAUACUGGCAGGCUGGAGGAAUGCAGAGGCUUGUGGAAUUCCCGGUGUAGCGGUGAAAUGCGUUGAUAUCGGGAGGAACACCCAUGGCGAAGGCAGCAAGCUGGGCAUUUCCUGACGCUGAGGCGCGAAAGCGUGGGUAGCAAACAGG